rnacentral:lncRNA from 1 species
ACACCUGUUAUGCAAAUGUUAUGAGUAUGAUGCUAAUGCAUAUGAUGCACAUGGAAUGAUCAUUUCUCAGGCAUUCAGAGAGCCUGAUUCAUCUUCAGAAGAUAGCAAUCUGCAGCAACGACACAGUAUACAAGAGCAAUGAGUACCGAGUGAAACCAACAAUUUCAUCUGUAAAUGAGCACCCGGAUCUAUCAGUGAACAGACUCUGGAAUGUACCUGAGAAAUGAUAUGCAUGCAGGGAUUAGUUUUUUU